rnacentral:lncRNA from 1 species
CGGCAGAAAGGCGAAGGCUGGCGUUGGUGGGCAACGAGGAGAGGAUGGCGGCGGACAGGCGAUUGCGGCUGGCGGGGGAUGUAGACGGUGGUGAGGGGCGACGGUAAGCGAUGGCGGCUGAGCGGAAGGUAAUGGCAGCGGCAGCUGGAAGACGACGGCAGUGCAGGGGGUAGUGGCUGGCGGCGAUAAAAGGAAGAGAAGGGAGGGGGAAGGGUGCUCCAGACCGGGAGUAGGGGG